UCCACUAUCACCGCAUAAAUCCUCUGCAUAUGAACCAAAAAAGUCUUUGUAAAAAAAAAUUUUGUAAUGCACUGACAAUUCACUGAAUGUUGUACAGGACAAGAAGACGACAAAGGCUCUGUACAGAGAAACUUACAACUUAAGAAAUAAGAAUAAAGGUGAGACACAAUAGGGGAGUGAGGAUAUCAUCAGAAAGUAUAAAGAUCUUUCUGGAGUAGAAGUGGAGAGAAGCAAAAGAACAGAUUGUUGGCCUAGAUAAUCAGUCAACUUUUUUCUGGCAUGGGGAAGAGAGGAGAAUCUUUUUGUGGACAGCAAAUGCCUCACUGCAUUUUUCCCCAAGGCAUAAUGCACAUUUGCAAGAGGGAAGAUCUGAGAGGCUUCAAAAUAAGACGAAAUAGAGGAAGGUAUCAGACUACACCUGGAGAGCUCUCCUUUCUGUUCUGAAUCCUGUCCUCAAUAUGGCAGCACAAUGACAACCAUGGUGGUCAAGUGUCUGAGCAAACUGUCACUUCAACAAUUUUCGAUAAAGCAAUCUCUUCUUCAGGUAUUACAAGGAAGCAGGUGGCCAAAGAAAGUUCUCAGAGCAAUUACAAAUAACGAUGUCCUUUUACAAGUAUCUACGAUAACUGUUCAAUGAUUCUUGUAUUAAAUUACUCUGCUAAGCAGGAACCCAGAAUAUUUAAAGACCUGGGACUAGUAACCUGGACAGUUUUAAAGAUCUUUUAAAUUUGCCAAGUCAAGAGCUGGGUGAGUUUGUCCUGCACUUGGUAGCAUCACUUCCACGUUUCGUGUGUAUUGCAAGUAAUCUAUACACGACCGUGGAGAGCUACUAGGAGAGUUAGAGCUCCUCACCAGCUGCCUGGGGAACGCGAGGGGCUGCGGGCCCGCCUGCCUCAGCUACAACAGUGGGGUGCAACUUUGUCUACACCCCGGAGACCCCUCUCCCAACGCGCUCCCGACCCUGUCCCCCGACUGUGGUCCCCAGCUUGAGAGCCAGGAUUUAGCCCACGCAACGAGCCAAGGCAGGAGGGCCGCACUUCCCAGCGCCCUCAAAGGCCAAGAAACGCAGCGCGACCGUCAGGCCAAGCUCACGGCAACGGACCCCUCCCCCGGCCAGGCUCACUCACUGGCAGACACCCCCAAGAGGCGUCGGGCCCGCACAACCCAGCCACCGCCUCGCUCUCUUACACUAUCGGCGCGGGCUGCUGUUUACCUCCGCGGACGAACC